GAUGAACGCUGGCGGCGUGCCUAAUACAUGCAAGUCGAGCGAACAGACGAGGAGCUUGCUCCUCUGACGUUAGCGGCGGACGGGUGAGUAACACGUGGAUAACCUACCUAUAAGACUGGGAUAACUUCGGGAAACCGGAGCUAAUACCGGAUAAUAUAUUGAACCGCAUGGUUCAAUAGUGAAAGACGGUUUUGCUGUCACUUAUAGAUGGAUCCGCGCUGCAUUAGCUAGUUGGUAAGGUAACGGCUUACCAAGGCGACGAUGCGUAGCCGACCUGAGAGGGUGAUCGGCCACACUGGAACUGAGACACGGUCCAGACUCCUACGGGAGGCAGCAGUAGGGAAUAUUCCGCAAUGGGCGAAAGCCUGACGGAGCAACGCCGCGUGAGUGAUGAAGGUCUUCGGAUCGUAAAACUCUGUUAUUAGGGAAGAAAAAAAGUGGAAGUAAAUAUGCACGUCUUGACGGUACCUAAUCAGAAAGCCACGGCUAACUACGUG
rnacentral:rRNA from 1 species